AAAAUUCAAUAGACCUUGAGGAAUUAGGGAAAUUUAAACAAAAAAAUUCAUACCUAUAGGACAAUAGGAAAUUGAAAAGAAAGAUACAAAGCACUUAAUAUUUCUUCAAUACAAGUCAUCAUGAUGAAGCACCUCAGGAGGUGGUUUUAGCAAGGAACAAUUUCCUCUCUACAUGGAUCUAGCAAACCACAUCUGCAAUAGAAGAUAAGUGCACA